rnacentral:lncRNA from 1 species
CUCCUCAACUAUUUUUUAUCUUUGGUAAACUUCAAAUACCACCUAUGUGGUUUCGCACGUUCUCACUUUAGUAUCCUAUAGUUUAAAAUGUAUCAAUUUAUUAUCCUAUGGUUUCAUUUUUUCUUUUCGUUUCAUUUUUCUCUUUCGUCGGCCCCUUCAUUAACUUUUCGUUAAAUCAUAUACAAAAAAUUUCAGAUACCCUACCUAUAGUUUAUUGAAUAUUCACUUUAAUACUCUUUAAUUUUAACUUUGUCAUUGAUUUAACGAAAAAAAUUAAUAAAGGAGAUAGCAAAAAAAAAAAAAAAAUCACAGGAUACGAAAGUGAUAUGCUUUAAACCACAUGAUAUUAAAAUAAAAAAAUGUGAAACCAUAGGGUGGUAUUUGAAUUUUUUUCUUUUUUUCCUCUUCAUUUAGAUCUUUAAGGCCUUAGAACUUCAAACUUUUUUGUUUAUUUGAUUUUCUAUACUUCGUUAAAUUAAGAAUGCUAAUUAUUAAUGAUCUGUUUGUAUUCGCUAAAAAGUGAUUAAAAUGAUCAAAUUUGGUGAAGUCGCUAUGACACCUUUAGCUUUCACAUUUUUAAAAUUAAGAAACUGUAGUUAAAAAAUUUAUUGAUUUAAUCAAAUCCAUUUGAUGCUUUUAUCAAACUUAACAAUUCUAAUACCUUUUAGUAAAUAAAGCUAAAAAAAUUGAUAAGAAAUGGUUGAUAUAACCAUGAAUUUUAGUAAAAUUUUCAAUUCAGUUUUAGAAACAUUGAAAGUUAAGGAGGCCUUCAUUUAAAAAAGAAAAAGAGGGUGCAAGUUUAAUAUAGAUUAUAGUUGGGGGGGUAUCCGUACAUUUUAACCUUAAUUUUUCACAAAAAUCUCUAUUUUUUUCUGAAAAAGAUCUCUUACAAUUUUUUUUUAUUAUUUCAACAGAAGCAAAAGUUUUCAAAUACAGAUACAAUAAUGAGGGGGUUUCAAAUGAAUUUGCAACCUUGUUCUGCAAAAAUGUAGCCACAAUCACAUAGAUUCCUGAUACAGAUGAAGAUACCGAUGAUUCGGCACAAUUGCAACUCACUAAACUGAGCCUGGACAAGUAACCAAACCACAGAUUAUAGCAACACAGGAAGAAAAUAUGAUCUAAAGUAGGGCUACUAUACUAUUUAUUAGUUCGAAGACCUUCAUUCUCAUAAGUUAUUUUCAAUAAUAAAACUUCUGAAUCGACGAUAUAUACCGUUAAACAUGACUGGGAGCAUUUAAAAUUUUUAGAAAAUAAAUUUCAUAAUUUUUUAAAAUUAUAAUAAAGUCUAUGAAUGAUCAAAACCGAACGACCUCAUAAAAAUAGAAGACCAAAUUUUUUAAUUUAGACCAAAUUUUUUAAUUUAAGAUCAAAAUUAUUAAUCUUUAACUAGAUUGUGGAUAAAAUUUUCUAUAAAAAAUUCAACCGAUUUUGAUUCUUUUACACUGUUAAACUAGCAAGUAUUCAAUACCGGCCGUUAAAAUAUCAAUUUUGAGAUCUUUCGAUCGAAAGGUAAAUAAUGACGAAAAAUUAUGAAAUUUGGUUUUUAAAAGUUUCAAAUGUUUUAAAUCAUGUUUAAUGGUAUAGAUCGUCGAUUUGAAAACGCUCAAUCGAAAACAACUUACGAGUACGAAAACGAUCUUGAUCAUAAGAUAACAAUACAAGUAUUUCCAGACAAGUGAGUUCCUUUUCGGUAUUCGCCGUACCGGGCUAUCCGAACAGCAUCUAUAUUUUAUCAGAGAGCAGCUGCUUGAAACCGCCCGGGCACACGGAGCAGCGGCAGCAGGACGCCGCCAGGGUCCCCCAGCUGUCCACAGGCAGCCAUCUGAUCGUCCCCACGGCUGAGCCGCAGGAAGACGACCACCCCAGCUUCGGCGAGAAUGUUCCGAAACUCUAUCAUCUUCUCUUCAGGUGUUGGCCUGAAAUGAGAACCAUCAUGGGGAUUGAAGGAGAUGAGGUUGAUCUUGCAAGGGAUUCCCCGGACGAGUUCUAUGAGCCUCUUCGCGUCGUCGAUGCUGGAGUUUCAGAUCAAUAGAUGAAAAGGAUUAUAAUCUCUAUGAAGAUUUGGCAUUAAAAAUAUGAAACUUAGCAGUAUCUUUAUCCAAUUAUAUGACAAUUGAGAGGGUGGUAGAUAAUUCCAACAAAUGUUUUCGAGGGCUACAUUGAUGAUAUCUCUAUAGGACCGGUACUGCGAUAACCCGUGUUCUUGGUUUUGUCUCAACAGUGCUUAAUUUCUUUCUGAAUAAUUAACAAAAAGUAACUAACAAGGAUUAAAAACCAAACCUGUCAUUUACUCCCGCAAGCAUGACAUAUUCGAAUAGUACUUUAUACUUGUUCUUCAGGCGUAAUUCCUCCCGUAAGGUCUCGAGAAGCAGGCUAAGAUUAUAUUUGCGGUUAAUUGGCAUAAUCCAGUUCCUUACCUGCAUUACUAUAGCAUUUAGUUUGCAAAUAAACUGAAGGAGAGUUGCUUUGAGAAAAGAAUUCACCCCUCGACAAAAAGUUACGGUCACCUCAUCUGUCGUGGCAUUGAGACUCACAGCUAACGCACAGUUAGAUUCACGAAGGAAGCGCUUCAACUGAGGGACAAGCCCGCUGGUUGAGACGGUCACUUUUCGAGGGCUAAAAUGAAGCCCUUGCUCAUCAACCAUUAUGGCCGCCGCCUUGAUUACAUUUUCUAUGUUAUGCAAUGGUUCACCCAUACCCUGCGCAAAGUAAGAGAGUGUUUUUAGUCAGAACACAUGAUAAGCACCAUUUUGAACUAAUUCUAGAAUCCCGGAAACAAUGGUAAGCAAUUUCCUGAUUAAAAAAAAAAAAGAAGAGAGAGCCAUAUUGUCACAUGUUUCUUCAAUUAAUUCAUUAAUAGAAAUAUGAUGUUACAUCAACGGAGCAACUGACUAUCAGAAAUAGUCCAAUUUCUUGAGUAAAUGAAGGCUAAUAUCACGUUCGACAGGAAACUAACAGAAAAAAAAUAAUAAUAUCAAGCAAAUGCUAUGCUGGAAAAAAAUAUAUGUAAAUAUAUAUAUAUAUAUAUAGAGUCCGGCUACUAUGCUAUCGGUAGCACGGAGCGCUCCGUGCUACCAAGUUGUUUUCGAUGAUGCGGCUUCCAAAUCGACGAUCGGCUCCGUUAGACUUUAUCUACACUAUUGAAAGUAUUUGGAAACUAAAUUUCAGAUUUUUUCGACAUCAUUUGAUUAGUGAUCAAAAGAUCUCAAAAUUGACAAUUUUAAUGGCCGAUGUGGUGUGUUUGUGAGUUUAACGGCGUAAAACAAUCCAAAUGCGAUGAAAAUUUUAUAGAAAAUUCUUUUCACUAUUUAGAGUAAGAUCAGUAUAUCUGAUCUUGAAUUUAAAUCUUUUAUCAUCAUUUUUCAUGAGAUUUUUAUUUUCAGCCGUUCAAUUUUAGACUACUUGUUUGAUAGGUAAAUGAUAUCGAAAAAUUAUGAAAUUUAGUUUCUAAAUACUUUCAAUAGUGUCGAUCAAGUCUAACGGAGCCGAUCGUCGAUUUGGAAGCCGCAUCAUCGAAAACAACUUGGUAGUACGGAGCGCUCCGUGCUACCGAUAGUAUAGUAGCCUAGUUCUAUAUAUAUAUAUAUAUAUAUAUAUAUAUAUAUAUAGAGUUGAGCUAGAAUACUCUCAAUAGUAAACGGGACAUUUUACUAUCGAGUUGUUUUCGAUGAUAGAGCUUCCAAAUUGACGAUCGGCUCCGUUGAACAUGAUCUAUACCACUUAAAGUGUUUAGAAAUCAAAUUUCAAAUCUUUUCGACAUCAUUUGCCUAAUGAUCAAAGGGUUUCAAAAUUUGUAAUUUUAAUGGUGGAUAAGAGACGUUUUCUCGUUUAACGGUGUAAAGAUAUCCAAAUCAAUUGAAUUUUUGUUAGAAAAUUCUUUAAACUAUUUAAAACAAGAUCUAUACUCUUGAUCUUGAUUACAAGACUCCUAUCAUCAUUUUUUAAAGAAUAUUCAUUUUCAGCCAUUCAUUUUUUGUUCACUAGAUGGAUAAAAGAACAAUAUCGAAAGUGCGUGAAAUUUGAUUUCUAGGUAGUUUAAAUGGUUUAGAUCAUAUUUAACGGAGCCGAUCGUCAAUUUGGAAGCUCUAUCAUCGAAAACAACUCGAUAGUAAAACGCUCUGUUUACUAUCGAGAGUAUUCUAGCUCAACUCUAUAUAUAUAUAUAUAUAUAUAUAUAUAUAUAUAUAUAUAUAUAUAUAUAUAGGAAGAAACCCGGAAGCAUACCAUGAACACGACAUUGCAUAUAGCUCCAAAUUCACUAGAGAACAAUCGGCGAGCAAAGACGGCCUGUUCAACUAUUUCAGCUGUCGUUAAAUGUUUUCUCAAGCCCAUCCUAUAAAGUUGAAACCACGGGUUUAGCCACAGUCAGUAUAUGCUUACAAAAUCAGCAAAAUUAAUAAAAAAUUACAAAAAUAAGAAAAAUUUAGAAAGCAAACAUACCUCCCAGUGUAGCAAAACUGGCAGUUCAUGGCGCAGCCCAGUUGACUCGAAACACAAACUGUGGUCCUCCCUCUACUGCAAGGAAUGACUACUGUUUCUAUCACUGAUCCAUCUUCCAGAUUGAACAGAAUCUGCAACCUCCUGCCAAUUUGGAUAUUAAUGAGAAUAUUCACAAAAAUUUAGAGAUUUGAUAAUGGAUGGUAUUAAGUGCAAGAGUAUCGAACUAGUAAAUUACCCACAAGAAGAGUAGUAGAAACCUACCUUCCGAGUUCCGUCCGAAGCAGUAAGGAUAUCUUUCACUGAUAAUGCCUUGAGAGUAGCAUGCUCGCUUAGCAUUUGUCUAAAUUCCUUUUUCAAACCUGCAAAAGGCCAAAUCGUAGAUUUAAUAGGUAAUGCAUCGCACGCAUAUAGUAAUAUAUAGACCAUGGAGGAAACUACAAGUCCAUCCAGAAAAGCAUAAGAAUAUUCAUGAAACUUUUCUCAAGAGAGAAGGAUGCUCACAGAAUGAGUUGCGAGCAAAAUCAAAAGUUAACUUGACUGAGCCGCAUAAUUAGAGCUAACUGAGGAAUAACUUAGUUUUUCAACUGAGUUUGUCCUCUAUGAUUCAUUGAGAAGUUAUUUGUGCAAUUCCUUGAGGAAAAAAAAACCCAAUACAUUAUGCAUCAUCAAACACUGGAACAACCAAGUUGCUUUAGCCUUAUGAAAAGGUUGAUUAACGAUGGUAACACUCAUUUUGAAGCAAAGCCACGGGGUUCAAAGCUCAACCACAGUACUGAAGGUUCAGAAGAACAGAAUAUUUCAAUAUCAACAGCAGAAACAUUAUUGGAAAGCAACUUCCUGGUUAUCACUAACUUUGAAAAAGAACACUUGCUUUUAAAAUCAUUUUUAAAGCUGAUAGCAACAAUGCAAAUAGAUUGCUUCUCAAUAACGCAGCAAAAUGUUCGCACAAAUUUGAUGACUGGAAAUUAAAACAAACGACUCUACAAGUAUAGCACAUCUGAGCACGUGGUCCCAUAAACAGGCACUUCAAUUCGUAGCAAAAAUAAAAUGGAUCAAAUUUACCCAGUGCAUAGCAUACUUAACUGGUAACUCAUAAAGCGACUAUAAAUAAGGAUUGAAUUGCUUAAUCACAUCAAACACCAAGUACUUAAAUAAGGCGCGCACCGAGCAAUUCAUCAUGGGUAUGCGCCCAAGUAUUAUUCCCGUAUAGACAUUUCCACAGCAUCAUAGCUUGCCCCGACCUAAAUCCAUGCGAAUGAACCCAUUUCUGCGAAAAAAACCAAGUUAUUGGUUUAUCAAUCAAUAUCAAAUAAGUAUAAGUUAGCUAGUUCUCAAAAAUUCCCACAUAGCAUUCUUUCUUGUGAAAAAAUAUUCAUAACAUCCAAUGCUCCUAAAUUUUAGGCUUUCUCAUGCAUCACAAAAAUAGAUCCCUCUUAACCAAAUUUGAACUAAAUAAGCCAUUUUAUUCUACAGGAUACGAGCUUUACGCUUACAACCACCCACUAACUUCUAAAACCCAAUAAAAAAGUACAAUCACAAAAUCGCAAUUUGGAGAGAAAUGAAGCAAAAGGAAGAGGUAAAACCCAGUAAACUCACUUACUUCGAGCUCAGGGUACUCCAUUUCCUUCAACAAAACCUUCGAGCCCGAGCCAUCUCCUAACCCUAAAAAUCCAAACUUUACCGAACUAACCGAGACAAAUCGCAAUAAAACCCCAAAUGUAACAAACUAGGGCAUCAAAUGAAGAUCGGCGAGGGCGCAACUCACCAAUCUCCCUGCGAGUAGCCGAUGGGCGAAGUGGGCGGCUAGGGUUUCGGGAGCAGAGGCGGCGAGAAAGGAGGAAGCAACGAGAGGUAGAGGAGGAGGAGGAGGUGGAGAGAGAGAGGGGAGAGGAGAGAGAGGAGAAGCUCCAUCGAACGAGAGGAAGAGCCAUUGGCGGAGGCGACGGAGGAGGAGGAGACGAGGGGGCGCCCGGUUUUAUCUUUUCCGGUUCGCUUUUUAGGGCGUGGGCCGAUCCGGUUCGAGGGGUUCGAACGGUUCAGUUGAACCGGACUGGUGGACCGGAUCAGUUUUACUUGGUUAAUUUGGAUCGAACUAGAAGAUCGUUUGAUUCGAACCGAUUCUGUAAAUGAAAAAUUUUUUACCUCGAUUUGAAUUUGGUUUUGUUAACUAUUUUUUAAAAUCUACAUUUCAAAUUUGAAAUUCAGAGUUGAGCUAGAAAACUUCUAAAAUUACCAACACCUUAAUACUUUCACCGUUCCAUGUCCUUUUAUAAUAAUAGAAUUUUUGAAUCGACGAUUAAUAUCAUUAAACAUAAUAUAACUUUAAUGAACUUUUUGAAAACUAAAUUUCGUAUGUUUCCAACAUUAUUUAUAUAUUAUUCAAGUGACCUCAAAAUUAAUAAAUUUUUUUUUUUUUUUGAGAAAAAGGUAGCACGCUACCCGCUUCAUUCAUUAAAAAGAUGAAUUAAGCUACAAGAGUGGGGCAACACGGCCCCGAAAGAAAGACAAGGCACAAAAAAAAAAAAAAAAAAAAAAAAAAAAAAAAAAAAAAACGAGAAGAAGAAAAGAAAUGGGGUUGGGUCCGAAAUUGCUAAGUAGCUAGAAGAAGUUCCCACUCUUUCACCAGCAGGACGAGUCUCUGGGUCGCUAAACCGGGGUUCGGCAAGAUGUUCCGAAAGAUACAAUCAUUUCUGACCUUCCAGAUGCUCCACCAGCAGCCUACUAGGUCUGUAAGUCUGUUUCGCUUCUUUUGGUGGUCCUUCAAGCACCUCCACUUAUCCCACACUCGAUGGACGUCAUCCCCCAAAUCUUGAGCCUGAAUGUCGUCCACCCCUGAUACUAUCAUAAACUUGCAGAAUACACAACGGGUGAAUAGAUGAUCCACACUUUCUUCUUCCGCCCCGCAAAGCACACAACAAGGAUCGUUAAUCCACCCUCGCUUAACUAACUUAUCCCGCGUAAGGAUUCUUUUCUUGAGUACCAACCAGCUGAAUACUUUAACCUUGAGAGGAAUUUUGAGACUCCAGAUGGCGGCGGCUCGGGCAUCCCUCGUCCCACCGUCCGUCAAAGCCGUCAAAUUAAUAAAUUUUAAUAGUAUAUAUAAUGUGUAUUAACUUAGCUAUAAAAGACUUGUUAAUCAAAAUCUAUUAUACUAUAUUUUUAGGGUUUAUUUGGUUCACCUACUUUAGACUAUAAAAUUUGAACGAGAUUCGUUGAUUUUGAUAAUUGUUGUUUGUUUUACAAAAAUCGGAUUCCGACUCCUAUUCUACUCUGAAAUGAAAAUAACCUAAUUUAUUUAUUGCAUAAUCUGACCCAUUCUAAAGUAAUCCGCUCAAAAUCUUUUUUCACAAGCACCUCUCUUCUCUCCUCUCGCCACUCUCAUCUUUUUUAAUCAAAAUUUUCUCUCAAUAUUCAUUUCAAUUUCAAUUCCAAUAAUGAAUCAAAUAUUUUUGAAUGAUUCAGCAUUCUAUUUUCCAUUCCAAUAUAAUUCAAUUAUGUUUUCUAAUCCUAUUUCAAUCAUGAAUCAAACAUGAGUGUUGAAUUUGUUUGGUAUAUUUCUUUAUUAUAUAUAUAGAGUUGAGUUAGCCUGUUGUCGGUAUUAAACAGACUCCGUUGCUAGAGAUUUGUUUUCAAUAAUUAGAUCCAAAUCGACGAGUAGCACGUUUGGCAUGAUCUAGACUAUUUAAAGUAUUUAAAAACUAAAUUUCAUAUAUUUUCGAUACUAUUAACCUAAUGAUCAAAGGGUAGCAAAAUUUAUAAUUUUAACAAUCGAUACGAAACGUUUGCUCAUUUAACGGAGUAAAAAAUUCAAAUCAGUUGAAUUUUUAUUAAAAAAUUAUUUAAACUAUUUAAAACAAGAUUCACAUCCUUAAUCUUGAAUAUAAAAAUUUAAUUUGAAGGAUAUUCAUUUGCAAUCAUUCAUUUUUGCAUUCACUUGGAUGCACAAGAGAACAAGAUUGAAAAAAAUACAAAUUUUGAUUUCUAAAUACAUCAAAUAGUCUAAAUCAUAUUCAACAGUGUCCGAUCGUCGAUUUCAAAGCUUUAUCACUGAAACUAAAUUGAUAGCAAUGAACCUAUAUAUUUCUUAUAGCAUUCUAUCUCAACUCACUCUCUCUCUCUCUCUCUCUCUUUAUCGCUAAUUCCGCUAUUUGAUCACAUGGAACAUGAGAGAUUCCCCCAAGUGGGCUUUACUUUUAAUAGUUUUGACUUUGUCCAAUAUUGAUUUGAAAUUUUUAUUAUCGAAAAUUAAAUCGAUAACAAAUUAGCAAUGAAUCUGUUUAUUACUGAUAGCAUUCUAGCUCAACUCUUUCUCUCUCUCUCUUUAUCGCUAAUUCCGCUAUUUGAUCGCAUGGAACAUGAGAGAUUUCCCCAAGUGGGCUUUACUUUUAAUAGUUUUGACUUCAUCCAAUAUUGGUUCAAAGUGGCGAGUUCGGGCGAACUCUCCACUUCAUUAUUUCUUGAUAGAGAAAAGUAGAAAAUUAUCUACUUUUGUUUUUAAAAAAAAAAUUUAGUUAGAAAUAUAAAGUAAUUGAAUUUCAAAUUUGAGAUUUUCAGUACUGAACAUUAAGCUCUAAACCAACUGUAUUUGUAACGAUCCAAUCCGCUAACAACAAUAAUUCGUUAGGUCCAAACCAUCUGGUCAAAAUGCUUAAGUCUCAUAUAAAUUGAUCGGAAUCAGUAUCCCAUCCGAUGUGGGACUAUUGGGGCGUUACAAACUCCCCCUUGUUUAGAUCCCAACGAAUCACAGACAUACAGGUCAGGACCAGAAUUACCAGGCGAUGUGAAAUUCUAUAGGUAGCUCCCACCAAAUCCGUUGGUGUAGCACUUUGUCCCGUAUAGCACUUAGCUCUCACACUUCCGGCUGGUAUUCAGCUCUGAUACAAAAUGUAACCACUCGACCUGCUAACAACAAUAACUCAUUGAGCUCAAACCAUCGGCCCAAAAUGCUUAAGUCCAGUUAUUAUUACUAGCGUGUAUGACUCAUAUAAACUGGUCGAAAUCAGUAUCUCAUUCGAUGUGAAACUAUUGAGAACGUUAUAGUACUAGAUACGAUCGAUUUUAUAAAAUUUUCAAGUAUAAGACAGCGAGAUUGAUCGUAUCUAUCAUAGUUGACUAAAAAUUUACCGAUUUAUAGAAAAAAUUUGAAAUUUGAAUUAUAAUUUAAAAAAAAUAAAAAAUAAAAAAUAAAAGGGAAAGGGCAAAGGGAAAAGGGAAAAAGGACAGAGUGAGUCCAACGUGACCGUUCUUUUGUUUGCUUUUCGAAGGGCAAUACGAACAGAAGUCAAAUCAACUACUCAACCUGAUAUAUUCUAUAAUAAACUACAAAGUAAAAUAAGCUCCAUGUUCUAGAUUCUAGUACUUUUAUGAUAAGAUAAUAAUAAUAUAUUCUGAUCUUAAAAUUUAUUCUUAAAUAUUAUUAAUGAGUUCGUCAUAUGCAGUUAAUUUUUAGAUAAAUUACACUUUUGAUCUCACACUAUGCAGCGCGUCAUUAGUUCUCGCAUUUUAAAUGGUUAUAAUUUUUAGAGCGUGACACUUUAGUCAUCGAACUUCAAUAAAUUAUAAUUUUUUGCUCGAACUUUCUUAAUUUUUUCGAUUAAAUUCUACGUCCCAAUUCUUUUGAAUAAUAUUGGUGAAUUACAAACAUCGAAAUAUGCAGUCCAAGUCAAAAAUUAUAACUAGUUUAACUUUUGGAACUAAAGUGUGAAGCGUCUUACAGUUUGAGCCAGAAACUAUAACGAAUUAAAAUUUACUAAAAUGUCAUGCAACUUAUAGUUUGAGAAAAAGUGUAAUUUACUCUAACACUUUUUAGAAAUUGAAAAAACAGAAUUAUUUGAAAGUUAUCAUUGUUAAGAUUAUUAGUUUCCUAGUGCAUAGAAAUUAGUUUUUUAUCUUGUAUGUGAAAAUAAGGAGCUUUUUUUUUUUUCUCAUCUAAUAGCAUAAAAGAUUUUAGAUAUGGGCUAAUCUCAAUUCGUACCUUCCUUGUGGGUCAAUUUUAAUAGAUUUUUAUCUAGAUUUUUAUCUAGAUUUUUUUUUAAAAAUAAUUUUGUCCCAUUUAAGAUUUUGGAUUGGUACAUAUCACUUGUUAAUAGUUAUGUACAUAAAAUUAAAUUAAAUUAUCAACAAUAUUUUAAGGUACCUUCUCAAUUAAUAAACUAAUAAUAUUGAAUACGCAUGAAUGAACGGUAACAAAAAAAAAAGUAUAGAAGCAUUACUCUAUAUCUAUAUAAUAUAGGAAAAUUUUCACAUACCACCUCUGUGGUUUCACACCUUCUCACUUUAGUAUCUUGUGGUUUAAAGUAUAUCAAUUUAGUGACAUAUGGUUUUAUUUUUAUCGUUUUAUUAUCGAUUUACUAAUUUUUUUUGUUAAAUCAGUGACAAAGUUAAAAGUAAAGAGUACUAAAGUGAAUAUUUGAUAAACCUAGAUAGGGUAUCUAAAAUUUUUUGUAUAUAAUUUAACAAAAUAUUAACAAAAAAGCUGACGAAAAGAUAAAAAUGAAACCACAGAGCACAAACUUGAUACACUUUAAACCACAAAACACUAAAGUGAGAAAGUGUGAAACCACAAUAGUGGUAUUUGAAGUUUACCCCUAUAUAAAUAUAGGGAUAAUUGCCUAUAUACCUCUCAUACGUUUGAAAAUAUUUGAUUUACCCUUUUUUCUAAAAUACCCCUUAUAUGUUCCACCGUUAUUGCAAAAUACCCCUGCAGUUAUCUCCUGUUAAGUUAACUUGGGUUAAACGUGAGUUAAAUAUCUACCACAGUUAAAAAAAAUUAAAAUACUAAUUUUGCCAUUAACUUAAGAGCAAAUAAGAAAUGUUGGUGAUGGUAGAGGGGUAUAUUGGAAAAGACCAAAAUUCAAAAUACUUUUUGUGCCCCUGACUUUAAGGGCAAAUAAGAAAGACAGUAAUGGUAGAAGAGUAUAUUUGAAAGGGCAAAAUAAUAAUUUUACAGAAACAACAGAGUUAAUUAACAUAUUUUAACUCUAGAAAUAUAUUAGAAAUAGGUUGGAAAGUAAAAAAAAUAUUUUUAAUAUUAGCCUUCUAAGAGGGAUAAAUCGGAAAGUCGAAAAUUUUUUAGGGGUAUAUAAGCAAUUGCCCCUAUAAAAUAUGUAUGUUGACUGAUAUGUUAAAUUACAAAACCAUCCACAACAUUUCCCGUGAUCAAUUACUGGGUGCAGUUGCUACCUAUCUUUCCCAUUAAUUAAAAAGUUAUGUGCACAAUUUAACUAUAUCAAAGGUCAAAAGACAUGACAUUAUUUUAGUCAAAAUAGUACAAAUUUUUAAUUCAAAAAGAGUAAGGGAUCAUGCAUGAUUUUACCCAAAGCAAAGCUGUGCUUUAAUUAAUCUACAUAACUUUUUUUUGGAUUUGUUUGAGGGUUACAAGAGUCAAUGAUCAUGGAGACUUAAUUGUAGAGAGAAUAAAUAGGUGGGGGUCUCAAUUGUUUUUUUAUUAUUAUAUUUGUAGGUUCUUAUUUUAGCUCCCAUCAUAUUUUAUAUAAGUUGUACAAGAAGUAUUUAUAAGUUUAGCAGUGUAAAAUAAUUCAAAUCCAGUAAAAUUUUAAUAAAACUUUUUUUUUCAUUAUUUAGAAUAAGGUUGGUAUCUCUGAUCUGAAAUUUAACGCAUUUAUCAUUUUUUUUAUAAGAACUUUAUUUUUGUAUUCAUAUUGAGACUAUUUGUUUUAUAGAUAAAUAAUAUAAGAUAAUCUAAAAAUUAAUUUUUAAAUAUUUUUAAUAGCGUAGCUCAUAUAUAAUGAAGCCCAUCAUAGAUUGGAGUGUCUUAUCAUUAAAAAUAAUUUGAUAGCAAUAUUCAAACCUAAGUCCUCCCUCUUACUUAGAUCUGGCAAUCUCGACCCAUACCCGCGGGUGCUCGCGGGUUACCCGCAAAUUUGCGGGUAUGGAUACCAACUUUUCAAAUUCAAAAAAUUACGGAUAAAACAGGUGGGUACCCAUUAAGCUGUGGGCAUUUUGGGUAACCCGUGGGUACCCACAUAUAUUUUUUAAUUAAAAAAUAUAUUUUUUAAUUAAAAUACAUAUAUUUUUAUUUAUCCAUUCUAAAAAGUCUAAUCCUAAUUUAUUAUCGCGUCUUUUAUAUUACGAAAGCUUUUUAUUUUAAGACUUUAAAUAUUUUUAUUGUAUGUUAUAACAUUUUAAAUAAUGAAUUAUGUUAUAUUUUUAAAACUUAUAUAUAUGUAUUUGCAUUUAAAAAAUAUAAGAGAUAAAAAGAAAAAAAUUGCGGGUAACUCACAUACCCACCCGCCCACCUGCGGGCGGGUAUGGAUAAAGAUGUUGGCUACCCAAAAAUUUACAGGUAAAUUUUACCCAUGCCCAAGUAACACCGGGGUACAAUAACCCGCCCGCGGAUUACCCAACCCGCCUGUUUGCCAGGUCUACAGUCACUAUACACGCUCGUAUGAACCAUAACAUUUUUUUUUAUGAUGCCCUAUUUUUCAGAAGUCAUUUAUUCCAGGACUAUUCUAAUUCUAAUAUAUUUAACCUUCUUAAGCUCCUGAAUCUAACCAUCGUUUAAAAUACUAUAACUGGAUUAAAAAAUUAAACCCUAUUAUAUUUUAUAUAAGGGUUAAUUGCAUACAGGUCCAUACAAGCAUAGUGAGUUACAAAUAUAUCCCUAUAAAGUUCAGCUUUCAUAUGUUGUCCCUACAAAAGUUCUAAUAUUUUCAAACAUGUCCUUACCGUUAGAAUCCGUUAGGAAAAAAAUUAGUUAACCAUAAGUUAAAUACUUAAUUCUGGUUAAUUUAUGAGAUAACUUGACAUUUUUAUUCUUUUUAUAUUAUACUGUUCUGACUUUUAGAUGAACAUAUUUGUGAUGGUAAAAUUGACAUUUCACUUAAAAUAUAAAUAGUUCUUUAACGGUAAUAAAUCAGAGAAAUAUAUUUGAAAAUAUUAAAACCUUUAUAAGAACAACAUAUAAAAUUUAAACUUCAUAAAAGUAUAUUUAUAAUUCCAAUUGAGCUCCUAUGCUUUUAAAAGUACCAAGCCAUUGGUACUUGUAAGUUUUGAGCCCUUGAAUUAAGGAAUGUGCGGUUAGGAUGAUGUGGGCCUUCUAGGGUUGAGUGAGUAGUUGGUUGAAUAGUAUAAUCUAACGGUUGAAAAUAAUUAAAGACGUAGAUCUAACGGUAAAAAACUUACAAGUACCAAGUGCUUGGUGCUUUUACAAGCACUAUAGUCGGACUCUUUAUAAUUCAUUAUAUUUGUAGGAAUCUGCGUGUAUUUAAUUUUUUAUAUAAAGAACUAGUAUCACUUUUUUUUUUGGGGGGGGGGGGGGGGGGGGUNGGUGACUUUGGCUUUGGCUCUCUCACAAAACAAGCCUGAAAUAGCAUCCAAAAAGAAGUUCAGCAUGCCUUGAAAUGACACCUCCCAAAAAACCCUUCAGCAUAUCCUUGUUAUAUGCUGUAACCCUAAAAAGUAAUAUCAUAUUACCUCAGUCCUUGCAUUGUUUUUUCCAAUCAUAGGAGGGUAAAAUUCACGAUUUAUUCUGUUAAAUUUAAUAUAACAUUAUCUAAAUUAUUUAAAAAUUAAAUUCUAUAAUUUUUAAUAUUAUUUAUCUAAUAAUUAAGUCAUCUCAAAAUAAAUGGCUAAAUAUAAAAAUUUUAUUUAAAACGACGACAGAGGACUUUAAUUCUAGAUCAUAGAUAUUUACCUUCUUUUGGAUUGUAAAAAAAAAAAAAAAAAAACUCAGUCAAAAUUCCAUCCAAUUUGAAUAUUUUUAUGCUUUUAAACUUGAAAUUGUCUUGUAUUGACUAAAAAAAAAAAAAAAAAAAACUCAGUCAAAAUUCCAUCCAAUUUGAAUAUUUUUAUGCUUUUAAACUUGAAAUUGUCUUGUAUUGACUAUGAAAUAAUUAAUUUUUAUAAUUUUUUAAUUACUGAGUAAAUAAUAUCAAAAAACUAUAAAAUUAAACUUUAAAUAUUUUAAAUAGUAUAAAUUAAAUUUAAUAGAAUAAUUUAUAGAUUUUAAUAUCUAGUUAUUAAAAAAAUAAAAGCUGCUGAAGCCUCGGUAUUUUUUUUGAAAGCAUAGCAUAGCUUCAUCAGCCUCUCUCUCUAUUAAGACUUAGUUUGAUAUUAAGAUUUAUUUAAGCUAUAGAUAAUAAAACGGAGUCGGGGUAAAAAUAUAUAGGGAUAUACUUCUACUUUCUUCGAUGGGACUGCAGAAAAUAUAUCGUAACCGACUAGUCACUAUAUGUGUAACGCAAUAGUACAUACGAAAAUAAAUCAGAUAUUUUUUUAUCGUAUUUUUUCAGUAACGCAAUCUUUUUACAAUUCCAAACAAAACCUAAUACAAAGAAAGAAUUAGGAUUAUUAUACUUUUAUAAAUAUAGAUAAUUUUGUACUCAUAAGUUUUUAAUAGGAUGAUAAUAGUUUUAUAGAAUUGAAUACAUGAUUGGUUGGAUAAUAUAAUUUAAUAAAUAAAAAUAAUUAAAAAAAUAAAUUUAAUAAUAAAAAAAUUAUAAGUAGAAAAGAGAACUAUACGGAUAAAAAUAUUGUAACGGAACUCGAAUGAAAUAAUCCAAUAAGACAUGGGAAAAAGUUAGAAUAAAUAAAGAGAGAGAGAGAGAGAGAGAGAGAGAGUGUCAUGAACUCAGUAUAUGCAUAGAAUAAUGUGUGUAUGCAGAGAGAGAGAGAGAGAGAGAGAGAGAGAGAGGCCAAAGAAGUGGAGUGACACACGUAGCUUUUAGGCAACCCAUGUGCUCUCACUCACACUCACAGCGAACGUGAGAAAAAAAAACAGAGCAAAAUUUAGAGAGAGAGAGAGAGAGAGAGAGGGAGAGGGAGAGGGAGAGGAAGAAGAAGGAGAGGAGGAGGAGGAGGAGGAGGGGAUCGCACAGCGCACGGAGUGCGUUGGAGUAGAAGCGCUUCGGGGAACAGCUUGUGCCGCUGCUGCUGCUGCUGCCGCUUGCGGAAGGAGACGAGGAUGAAGGAAGGGGGAGGAGACGGGUUCGUGAGGGCGGAUCAGAUCGAUCUGAAGAGCUUGGACGAGCAGCUGGAGCGGCACCUGAGCCGAGCGUGGACGAUGGAGAAGAAGAAGGAGGAGGAGGGAGGAGGAGGAGGAGUGGUGGUGGGCGUAGGAGGAGGAGGAGGAGGAGGAGUGGGCGUAGGAGGAGGGGGAGGUGGAGGUGGAUGUGAGGUGUGCAGACGAGCGGGGCGUGGAGGGGGACGGAGAGAGGAGUGGGAGAUCGACCCUCGAAGCUCAUCAUCAAGAGCGUCAUCGCGGGGCACCUUCGACCGUCCAUCGCGGCGUCUACGACGGCCACGAACGUCGCCGGUGAUGCCCUUCUCUCCCCUCCCCCUCCCCCUCCCCCUCUCUUUGUGUGUGUGUGAGAGAGAGAGAGAGAGGGCGAGAGAGGGAGAUUCUGAAAUUUUCGAUGUGUUUGAGUCGCCAUUAGAUUCAAAUUGCAAUACCCAUUUGGUAGUAUCUCUCCGAAUUUCUAAUUUUCUCUGUUUGUUUCUAUUCCCCGUUCGGAUUAAAUUUGUAGUUAUUUUUGUGUGUUUGGGACGCCAUUAGGCUCAAAUUUGAGUAGACAUUUGGUAGUUCCUCUCCAGAAUCUAAUAUUUCUGGGUGUUUGCAACCCCGUUCGAUUCAAAUUGCAAUGCCCAUCUUAAAAUUUCUCUCCUAUUUCUGAUUUUUCUGUGUGUUUUGGUCCACAUUAGAUUCAGGUUGCAAUACCCACUUGGUGAUUUUUCUUCAAUUUCUUAUUUUUCUGAGAGUUCCCCAUUAGAUUCGAUUUUUAUACUCAUUUCGUAAUUUUGAGAAAUUUUUGGCCAUUUUGCGCAAUGUGAAAUAUUCACUUCAGGGGCAAGAAAAGUUGCAAUUUUUGGUACUUUAACUAUAUUUUCUUUCGCUUAAGUUGAUCUCGUAGUAUUAAUUCAUAAAUUUUUAUGUUCUGGGCUUAUCUUCUGCUAAUUUCUGAUUCCGUAGAAACAUGAGAUGUGCAGGGAAAAACAAAAAUAAAAUAAUAAUAAUAAUAAUAAUAAAAGAAUGAUUUAGUAAUUAUUUAAUAAUCCUGUUUCUUUACCAAACAGGAAUAGCAGCUGUAUACUUGAUUUUGUAAGUACUGCCUAAGUCUUUAUAUCUAUCUUUUGUAGUGGACAUGAAUUGAGUGCAUUAGUAGACCUUCAUAUUGGCUUUUCCAAAUUGCUUUUUUCUCUUUCUUUUUUUGAGAUAAAAAAUUUGCACCUUUUCGAUUGGUGAAAGAAUCCAAUUGCAAAUUGCUUCUUUGGCAAUGUAAAAGCCCGUGAAUCUUAUCGGCUUCUUUCUGGUGGUUGGCUUUCAUCUUAACUAAUUGCACUCCAUAGCUUUUAUUGGAUAAGGUUCCUUUUUGAACUUCCAUGUGAUCCCAUCCAACUACUGAUUAAUAAUAUGUAGGGGUGACAAUGAUGUUGAUCUUGUGAUACAUUAAUGGCGGGAGAUUUAAAGCAGUCAAAGCAAGAUAUUGCAUAAAGAUUCUAAAAGCACACAUACUUUUCUAGAGAGAGGAGUGGAGCUGAAAGAACAAAGUGAAAUAUGGAUACUCGAAAAACUUCUUUUUUUGUGGAUGUUGAUUCUUUCAAAAAAAAGAAAAAAAUGAUCAUACAAUAUUUCUAUGAUGAUACGAUAUGCUAUUAUAGUUAUAACAACAGGGAAAGAAAUAUUUGGGAUUGGCAUUUGGCAUCCGAAUUAGGCUCAAACAUCCUUUCUAGUUUAUAUCGGCAUGACCUGUUGCUAUUUGAGCUAGCUUUCUUGUUCCAAAUAAGAUCUUACACAUCUCACUCGCCGAAUAUUUCCAUUCCCUCCAGCACAAAGGAAAAGCUUUAUAUUCUUUACAUGAUCUAAGUUUAUGCCUUAUAUUAUCACGUUUCAAGUAAGUACUAAUAAUCGGCUACGUUGGAGCUUGCACUGCAUGAAUGUGUAAUUUUCAAGCAAUCUGCGGCUUCACACUUUCUUAUCUCCAGCAAAUAGACGUUGAGAUCGACUGUACAAUUAGUUCUUUUGUCCGUUUUUGUACGUACUUUUAUGGUAGCCCUCUUUCUGUAGUUGUUAUAGUUCAAUAUGGAUAUUCUGGCCUGGGGAGAAGACGUUGAAAUCUAUUUCAUAAUGCUAGCAAUCCCCCCUCUUUUUGUUUUUCAGUGAAGUUGCUUGACUGGGGAGAAGAAGGUAGCAGGUCAGAAGCUGAAAUUGCUGCACUUAGAACAGCUUUUUCUCAGGAGGUUGCUGUAUGGCAUAAGCUCGACCACCCGAAUGUAACCAAGGUAUAAUUUCACUGCAUAACUGCCUCUAUUCUGCCUAAAGAUCCAUUUGGUCGUUAAUUUGUAAACUUACAAUAUCCAAUUUCAUAUUGUUGUAUGAUAUGAAUCUUUUUUUGUACAUUAAGAACCAUCUUAGGGGAGUUAGAUGCUUUGCAAAUGGCAAAUGUUAUUUUGUUCAUCAAGUUAAUUAUUCUAAUUUUCCUAGUAGACAACUGUUCUCCCAUGUAGCUUAACUCUCUCUCCAUAUUUGGUGCAUGUUACUCAUGUGCUGCUGCAUAUUAAUUUUAUUGGAUCUUCAGAGUAUAUUGUAACGUUAACCUACUUAAUGUGUAGAACAUUAGUUUGAGCAAAAUGCACUUUAUCCUGCAGAAGUUCCUGAAUUAUUUCAUCCAGUUUUCCCAAUCAAACACCUAAUAUUCUUCUUACUUCUGAACUUCUUGCCUUACCCUUUUUUUUCUUUUUUUUUUUCUUUUGCCUGAAAUGACAAUUGUGAUCUUACUUUAACCCUUUAUUGCCAGUUUAUAGGGGCUAUAGUGGGUGCGAGAGAUUUAAAUAUUCAAACAGAGAAUGGCCAUCUUGGCAUGCCAAGUAAUAUUUGUUGUGUUGUGGUCGAAUACCUUCCGGGAGGUGCCCUGAAAACAUUUCUUAUAAAAAAUCGGAGGAGAAAAUUAGCCUUCAAAGUAGUCAUCCAACUGGCUCUUGAUCUUGCCAGAGGGUGAGUAUCAGCACUAUCCUUUUUCCAAAGUUAACUCUCGCUUGCUAUUAUUUAGUUUUUAAUCUGUUUCGGAUCGAUUGCUAUUUUAAAUAGUCCAAAUUCUUGUUUGCUGGAAGAUUAAAGUGUGCCACUUUGUCAAUAUAGAUUGAGUUAUCUCCAUUCGAAGAAGAUUGUGCAUAGAGAUGUGAAGACAGAAAAUAUGCUUCUUGAUAAAUCACGAACCGUGAAAAUUGCGGAUUUUGGUGUUGCUCGAGUUGAGGCUUCAAAUCCUCACGACAUGACAGGUGAAACAGGAACUCUUGGUUACAUGGCACCUGAGGUAUACCAUCCUUUAUAGUAUCUACAGCUUCGUUGUUUCCAUCUUUGCGUUGCCUUUUGGUUCUCAAAUUGAUUUAUGCUGAUGAUUAUUUCUUGGGGCUUUUACAUAUAGUACCCUGCCGACUUACUUUUAUGCAUAUAAAUAUAUCCCUAUAAAUUUUGAAUUUUCAUAUGUGUCCUUACAAUGGUUAAGUUUCUUACAAAAAGGAUCUCAAGUUAGGGAGCCAUUCAAUUCAUCAUGAUCAGUUGGUUUCGUAAACACAAUGAUAUUUAUGUGAGAGAUUAAGUUUUUGAAAGGAACGAAUGAACACGGAUACAUAUAUAAGUAAGUAAUUUUGGUGAGGCAUAUAUCUAGAUAUGUUUAAGGAGACACCCUGAUUUUCUUUUCUGAUCUUUAUAUACUUACACCUUGGAUUCUUAAGCUAUCGCAACAUGCGAUGGUCCACUGCAGCAAGAGUUUGCCUUGCCACAUGCCUUUAGAUUUAGAAGCUGUUCUUUAUCUCAAUACUUGAAUUGUUAUGUGGAAAUCUCUCAUUGGUCAUUCGUUGUUCAGAUACUUUUCUCAUGUAUGAAGCAUGGGUCUUUUUUUUAGAUAUAAAAUAUAAAUUAUGCACAUACAUGGGUAUGUAUUCAAACUCGAGACCUCUUACUUUAAUAACAUGUGAAACAACAGUUUCCUGCAAAAUUUUGAGUAAUUAGAGAAAGAUUAAGAUUUAUACAACACUUGGGUUUGCAUGAUCUAGUGGCGAUUAAAUGGCCUAUGAAUGAACUACAGGUUCUCAAUGGCAGCGCAUACAACAGGAAAUGCGAUGUCUAUAGCUUUGGGAUUUGCCUGUGGGAGAUCUACUGCUGCGACAUGCCAUAUCCUGACCUUAGCUUCUCGGAGAUUACAUCUGCAGUAGUUCGUCAGGCAAGCCAUUUUCUUCUCAGCUUACAUCAUUACUUCAAUCUUUUCUUUAAAAAAAGGACUUUUUCAACGACCGAAAUUAUGAACUAGUAAAAAUUUACAGAAUUUGCGGCCGGAGAUUCCGCGGUGUUGUCCAAGCUCUCUAGCGAACGUAAUGAAGAAGUGCUGGGACGCGAACCCUGAUAAGCGGCCAGAGAUGGCCGACGUGGUGGCCUUGCUGGAGGCGAUCGACACGUCGAAGGGCGGAGGUAUGAUCCCUCUCGAUCAGCCUCAAGGUUGCCUCUCGUGCUUCGGCAAGUCCCGAGGCCCUUGACAAAAAUCUGAAAUUGCAUUAUGGGGAACCUAAUGACUUCCUUUAUGUUAACCCAAUGGAUCGAUAGAUACUUUGUAUGUAUUGUUUAAGAAACCGAAAACCUAGUUAAAAGGCCUGUUGUUGUAACUUUCUUAUAUAAGUUGAGGUAUAUAAUGGUCCUUAACAUCUUUGUGUAUAUGGAUUAAUUAUUAGUCAGCUGUUGGAUUUGAUUUUCUAUGUUGUGGUGUGUGAUCAUCUUGCAUGCCAAGUCCUAGUACUUGAUAUCUGGAUUGUUUAUUAGGGUUUAGGGUUUGGCUCCUUUAGGCCCUUCCCUCCUCCUCCUCCUCCAUUGUUUUUAGUUUUUCUUUUUUUUGCUUACCAAUGAUCUUUAACUUUGUAUCUUUUACCUUUAGUAAUACAUAACAAUUAGCUAGGGUUGGGCUCAGACUAGAGCAAGUACUCUGUUAACUUAACAUUCGUGUUUGGCAUGGUUCAAAUCAAAGUUCAAUCACUCGACUUAAACUAAGCUUUUCUUGGCCGCAAAUUGGAGCUUCUGCUUUCGAAAUGCGAUGAACAAACACCUUUUCCGCUACUCUCAAUAGCCCUAUGUUUUGUACAAGACAAAAUAGUUCGACUAAAGACACGGUCGGUCCAUUAAAUUUUGAGUUGCGCGCAGGUUGUGCUGCGGUCUACAAAAGUUAUGAACUUUAAAGGCAUUGCCCGCUGCCGUGUUCCAAACCAGCAGGCUGUGCUGUGCCGCAAAAAGCAGCCGCCUUUCUGGACUGAUGGAACCGAGCCACUCCCAACACGUUAAAUUUUCGCCCCUCACAGAUCAUGAAGCUGUUUGAUUAUGACUAUGAUGAAAUGAACACGAGUUUAGUGGAGAAACACCAGAAUCUGUGAGCUCCAAUUGUGACCAGUUGCAUAAACAGGCCCUUAGAUUGUUAACCAAAGCUACAAAAGGACAUUGAUAAAAUAAUUUGUACCAAGCUUGAAUUAACCUUUUUAUAGGUCAAAAAACAGAAAGAAAGAUGUUGACCUCACUUUUUCCUUCUUUUUUUUUAACAAAAUUAAGUACAUUCUCUUUUGACAAUCUUGAUUUUCAGACAAAUGCAAAAGAGUGCAAGAAAAGAGAUUCAUAAUAUACACAGGUCAAUUUCUCGGUGUUUACUGCCGCUCCUGGAGUUUCCUAGACAUUCACAAAUUAACAGAAGGAAAAACAACUUAAAAACUCCAAUCUGAUAUAAGUCUAUGAGGCACAUUAAAACAGGAAAAAAAAAAAAUCCAAGGCUUUCUCAUAGCAAAAAAGAAUAAAAGGACGAGAAAACCUUGCCUAUACAAUUCUUUUUUUUUUCGCCAAAAAAGUUAGAGAAGGCCAAAUUUGUGAUGAGUAGACCAUUAAAAGCUAAAUUUCAACCUUAGGAUUUUGAUCAGGAAUCGCUUUCUUGCUCGACAUCGCUUUCUGAACUAUUGGACUCUGCUAGUCCCUCCAGCCUAGAACUCUCAAAUUCUUCGAGCAGCAGCUUUCGUAUCCUCUGCCUCAACUCAGAAGCCAUUUCGGGUUUGAACCAGCUGCGACCAAACUGUCAAACACAAGAAUCAGUAAGGAGAAGGAAAAGAACAAAAACACUUCACAAGGUUUGGCUUGGCCUAACCAUGGCAAGAUCUUCAGUUCUUAGCCUUUCAGGCGCCUCUCUGAUAAACCGCUCGAUGAAGUAGAGCACAAAGAGACCACAAUCAUACUCGUUUUUCUGCUGGGGCACCUGACAAGAAUAGAUAGGAAAUAUUUCAUAAAGCAGCUGGGUAUGAAUUAUAGCUCCAAGUUGAAACAUUUUGUACCAACUCAGCCAUUAAACAAAUUAGGCAUUUCUAAAUGGAAGAUAGAAAGAUUCACUCACUGGAAUGAGAGCAAAUGUUAAAGAAAACAUUGUUUACAGCGAUCUCAGAAAAAUUUAUGCCGUAAGCUUUGAUUAGUUUAGUAAAUUAAAUGGCAAUAGACAACACCAUACCACACUCACGCCCAACCGUGCUGGAACUGAUUCCAUAAACAAUGCAUUCGCAGGUAAUUUGAAAAAUAGUUCAAACACACAUAUUACUGCUUUGUGACAUCUCAUUCUUAAGUAACUCUACAUAAAAAAGAAGAACAGAAGAAAAUCUGUUGAGAGAUCAUGAAGUUGCUAAUAAUGAUAUUUACCGCAACUUUAUUCGCCUGGAUCUCACUGGGAAGUCGUUCCCAUACUCUCUCUGAAAUUGGAAGAUCUGGUGUAACAUUCUUUAUAACAUGGUGCCAUUCUUCUUCAAGAAAUCUGAAACAUGCCAUAUAAUUCAAACUUUAUUGAUUUUAACGUAAAUAAAAAAAAGAAGAAAUCUACAUAGUGAAACAAUUCAGUGAUGCCAUUCAAAGUAGCAGGCAACAAUGCAGCAGCAAUAAAGUAAAACUUGAGUCUAGAAAAUAGGCAACUGAUUCCCUAUAUUGAUACAGCAUUAAUUUGAGUUUAUAAUUUAAGAAGUCAAGGAAAUUAUGAAAAGAAAGAAACAAGAAAAAAAAAAAAAAACUGUACCAAUAUGUUGCAAAUCUGAAUUAGCUAGAGAUCAUUAAUU